rnacentral:rRNA from 1 species
AGAGUUCGAUUCUGGCUCAGGAUGAACGCUAGCUACAGGCUUAACACAUGCAAGUCGAGGGGUAGCAGGGUAGCAAUACCGCUGACGACGGCGCACGGGUGAGUAACACAUAUCCAACCUUCCCAUAACUCAGGGAUAGCCUUUCGAAAGAAAGAUUAAUACCUGAUAGUACUUUUUCAAGGCAUCUUGAGAAAGUUAAGGAUUUAUUGGUUAUGGAUGGGGAUGCGUUCCAUUAGAUAGUUGGUGAGGUAACGGCUCACCAAGUCUUCGAUGGAUAGGGGUUCUGAGAGGAAGGUCCCCACAUUGGUACUGAGACACGGACCAAACUCCUACGGGAGGCAGCAGUGAGGAAUAUUGGUCAAUGGGCGAGAGCCUGAACCAGCCAAGUAGCGUGAAGGAAUGAAGGUCCUAUGGAUUGUAAACUUCUUUUAUAGUAGAAUAAAGUGAGCCACGUGUGGUUUUUUGUAUGUAUACUAUGAAUAAGGAUCGGCUAACUCCGUGCCAGCAGCCGC